rnacentral:tRNA from 1 species
ACCUGGCUGGCUUGGUUGGUAGAGCAUGCAAUUCUUGAUCUCAGGGUCAUGAGUUCAAGCCCCAUGUUGGGUG